AUUGAACGCUGGCGGCAGGCCUAACACAUGCAAGUCGAGCGGAUGAAGGGAGCUUGCUCCUGGAUGCAGCGGCGGACGGGUGAGUAAUGCCUAGGAAUCUGCCUGGUAGUGGGGGAUAACGUCCGGAAACGGGCGCUAAUACCGCAUACGUCCUGAGGGAGAAAGUGGGGGAUCUUCGGACCUCACGCUAUCAGAUGAGCCUAGGUCGGAUUAGCUAGUUGGUGGGGUAAAGGCCUACCAAGGCGACGAUCCGUAACUGGUCUGAGAGGAUGAUCAGUCACACUGGAACUGAGACACGGUCCAGACUCCUACGGGAGGCAGCAGUGGGGAAUAUUGGACAAUGGGCGAAAGCCUGAUCCAGCCAUGCCGCGUGUGUGAAGAAGGUCUUCGGAUUGUAAAGCACUUUUAGUUGGGAGGAAGGGCAGUAAGUUAAUACCUUGCUGUUUUGACGUUACCAACAGAAUAAGCACCGGCUAACUUCGUG
rnacentral:rRNA from 1 species